GCCUGGCUGGCUCAGUCGGAAAAGCAUGUGACUCUUGAUCUCAUGGUCGUGAGUUCAAGCCCCAUGGUGGGUG
rnacentral:tRNA from 1 species